CCUACGGGAGGCUGCAGUGAGGAAUAUUGGUCAAUGGACGAGAGUCUGAACCAGCCAAGUAGCGUGAAGGAUGACUGCCCUAUGGGUUGUAAACUUCUUUUAUAUGGGAAUAAAAUGUUCCACGUGUGGGAUUUUGUAUGUCCCAUAUGAAUAAGGAUCGGCUAACUCCGUGCCAGCAGCCGCGGUACUACGGAGGAUCCGAGCGUUAUCCGGGUUUAUUGGGUUUAAAGGGAGCGUAGGUGGAUUGUUAAGUCAGUGGUGAAAGUUUGCGGCUCAACCGUAAAAUUGCAGUUGAAACUGGCAGUCGUGAGUACAGUAGAGGUAGGCGGAAUUCGUGGUGUAGCGGUGAAAUGCUUAGAUAUCACGAAGAACUCCGAUUGCGAAGGCAGUUCACUGGACUGCAACUGACACUGAGGCUCGAAAGUGUGGGUAUCAAACAGGAUUAGAUACCCUUGUAGUC
rnacentral:rRNA from 1 species